GACGAACGCUGGCGGCGUGCUUAACACAUGCAAGUCGAACGGAAAGGCCCUGCAUUUGUGGGGUGCUCGAGUGGCGAAAGGGUGAGUAACACGUGAGUAACCUGCCCUUGACUUUGGGAUAACUUCAGGAAACUGGGGCUAAUACCGGAUAGGAGCUCCUGCUGCAUGGUGGGGGUUGGAAAGUUUCGGCGGUUGGGGAGGGACUCGCGGCUUAUCAGCUUGUUGGUGGGGUAGUGGCUUACCAAGGCUUUGACGGGUAGCCGGCCUGGGAGGGUGACCGGCCACAUUGGGACUGAGAUACGGCCCAGACUCCUACGGGAGGCAGCAGUGGGGAAUAUUGCACAAUGGGCGGAAGCCUGAUGCAGCAACGCCGCGUGCGGGAUGACGGCCUUCGGGUUGUAAACCGCUUUCGCCUGUGACGAAGCGUGAGUGACGGUAAUGGGUAAAGAAGCACCGGCUAACUACGUG
rnacentral:rRNA from 1 species